rnacentral:rRNA from 1 species
CCAGCAGCCGCGGUAAUUCCAGCUCCAAUAGCGUAUAUUAAAGUUGUUGCAGUUAAAAAGCUCGUAGUUGGAUUUCUGAAUGGAUACCGAUGCCCGCCUGCUGGCGUGUGCAAAGGUGCCCGUUCAUCCUUCUGUUAAGGUUUCUUAGUAUUCACUUACUGGUUUCCGGCUCAGAUAUUUUACCUUGAAUAAAUUAGAGUGUUUCAGGCAAGCUUGGUCUUGAAUACAUUAGCAUGGAAUAAUAGAAUAGGACUCUAGAUCCUUUGUUGGUUUCUGGAUUUGGAGUAAUGAUUAAUAGGGAUAGUUGGGGGCAUUAGUAUUUAAUUGUCAGAGGUGAAAUUCUUGGAUUUAUUAAAGACUAACUUAUGCGAAAGCAUUUGCCAAGGAU